rnacentral:tRNA from 16 species
GGGGGCUUGGUGUAGGGGUAUCACGUUCGCUUUGCAUGCGAAAGGCCGGGGGUUCAAAUCCCUCAGCCUCCA